AGUGAACGCUGGCGGUAGGCCUAACACAUGCAAGUCGAACGGCAGCACAGUAAGAGCUUGCUCUUACGGGUGGCGAGUGGCGGACGGGUGAGGAAUACAUCGGAAUCUACUUUUUCGUGGGGGAUAACGUAGGGAAACUUACGCUAAUACCGCAUACGACCUACGGGUGAAAGCAGGGGAUCUUCGGACCUUGCGCGAUUGAAUGAGCCGAUGUCGGAUUAGCUAGUUGGCGGGGUAAAGGCCCACCAAGGCGACGAUCCGUAGCUGGUCUGAGAGGAUGAUCAGCCACACUGGAACUUAGACACGGUCCAGACUCCUACGGGAGGCAGCAGUGGGGAAUAUUGGACAAUGGGCGCAAGCCUGAUCCAGCCAUACCGCGUGGGUUAAGAAGGCCUUCGGGUUGUAAAGCCCUUUUGUUGGGAAAGAAAAGCAGCAGGUUAAUACCCCGCUGUUCUGACGGUACCCAAAGAAUAAGCACCGGCUAACUUCGUG
rnacentral:rRNA from 1 species